GUGUGGAAGAUCUGCCUGUUUGAGCAUGUUCCCGACUUAUUUCUUUUUGAAAUCCCAAGUUCUGCUAAGGCUUCAUCCAUGGAAUUUCUGCAGAUAAAAUAAACAGUGGAGACUCUUCGAUGUUCAACCUAUGUAAAUUCACACCUUUUGAAUACAGUUGCCAAUUCUCUAUCUACUAGUGAAUUCAUUUGAUGAAGACAGUAUAAGCCUUUACCAGCAGUGAUUAUGGAGAAACUAUCGAGUUCCAGGAGGUAAGACAUCAGAAAUGCAUUCUUCCCCAAGACACAUCUUACUGCCUAAUGUACGCAGCAAAACCUUAAAGGAAAUUGUACUUGUCAUGCAACAAUUUCAAUUCCAGUUAUAACCAAAGUUGUAAGCAGUUUUGAAAAAUGAUGAAGAUUACAGAAUAAUUUUAAUGUUUUAAUUUUACGAUCUCAUCAGCUUUUAUGCUUGACUACCCUGAAAAACAAUGUCACUCAUAGGUCUCAACCUGUUAAAUUGCCAGAGUAGACCACAGUCCAGGACACCUUAAUUUACUAUUUUUAUGCCUAAUGGACAAAAUGGUCUGUCAGAGAAUAGCAUCUUAUUGCAAAACAUAUAUCACCCCAGAAUACAUACUGUACAUUUUGGUAUCAAGUUCUUCUAUAAAAAAGGCAUAUCUUGUUGUUAAGGAGCAAUAGUUUAUGAUCUACAGACAGUACCAUAAAUAACCAAAAAUAUAUGUUGUAUCUAAU